rnacentral:rRNA from 1 species
UACAGAGGGUGCAAGCGUUGUUCGGAAUUAUUGGGCGUAAAGGGCUCGUAGGCGGUUUGUCGCGUCGGGAGUGAAAACACGGGGCUUAACCCCGUGCCUGCUUCCGAUACGGGCAGACUAGAGGUAUGCAGGGGAGAACGGAAUUCCUGGUGUAGCGGUGAAAUGCGCAGAUAUCAGGAGGAACACCGGUGGCGAAGGCGGUUCUCUGGGCAUUACCUGACGCUGAGGAGCGAAAGUGUGGGGAGCGAACGGG